rnacentral:rRNA from 1 species
UACGUAGGGGGCAAGCGUUGUCCGGAAUUAUUGGGCGUAAAGAGCGCGUAGGCGGUCCGAUAAGUCGGCUGUGAAAGUCAGGGGCUCAACCCUUGAAAGCCGGCCGAUACUGUCGGACUAGAGUCCGGAAGAGGCAAGUGGAAUUCCCGGUGUAGCGGUGAAAUGCGCAGAUAUCGGGAGGAACACCAAUGGCGAAGGCAGCUUGCUGGGACGGUACUGACGCUGAGGCGCGAAAGCGUGGGGAGCAAACAGGAUUAGAUACCCGGUAGUCC